ACGAACGCUGGCGGCGUGCUUAACACCUGCAAGUCGAACGGAAAGGCCCUGCUUUUGUGGGGUGCUCGAGUGGCGAACGGGUGAGUAACACGUGGGUAACCUGCCCUUGACUUUGGGAUAACUUCAGGAAACUGGGGCUAAUACCGGAUAGGAGCUCCUGCUGCAUGGUGGGGGUUGGAAAGUUUCGGCGGUUGGGGAUGGACUCGCGGCUUAUCAGCUUGUUGGUGGGGUAGUGGCUUACCAAGGCUUUGACGGGUAGCCGGCCUGAGAGGGUGACCGGCCACAUUGGGACUGAGAUACGGCCCAGACUCCUACGGGAGGCAGCAGUGGGGAAUAUUGCACAAUGGGCGGAAGCCUGAUGCAGCAACGCCGCGUGCGGGAUGACGGCCUUCGGGUUGUAAACCGCUUUCGCCUGUGACGAAGCGUGAGUGACGGUAAUGGGUAAAGAAGCACCGGCUAACUACGUG
rnacentral:rRNA from 1 species